GGAAAUAGGGGAUUCAGCUGGGGAAAGGGCCAGAAGACAUCAGCAGAGAGGAGCUGGAGCAGAAAAACCUACAAAUUGCAGGCCAAAGGUCCAUGGCAGUCGUCUUCUUCAAUUUUGAUCUGCACCCUAUCAUUCUGACACAGGGCCCCUCACAGAACCUGGAGUUCACCGGUUGGCUAGACUGCCUGGUCAGUGAGUCCCAGAGGAUCUACUUGUCUCUGUUGCUACUCUGCUAGGCUUACAGAGCACGGGGCGUGGCCAGAGAUGCUCCUUCAGACAAGGUUCAGCACGAGUCAGUAGGAGAAGGUGCUGAUUCUACACUCUUUUAGAGAAAUGGGAUGGACUCGGCGUGGCAUCUCCGUGCUCCUCAUCAGACCCAUGGCCUCCGAGACAUAGAAGAAGAAAACCCUUCCAAUAAGGUUGCUUCUUACACUAUCCUCUUAUUAUACUAUUCUUAAAAUUGCCAGGGCCAUCAAAGCCCAGAAGAAAAUCUUUAAAAAGUCACAUCUAAGAGGAACCUAAGGAGAUAACACAACUAAAUUCCUGAUAGGACCAUGGCUCAGAAAAAUACAUUAGAUAAAA